GGCCUCUCUUGCCUUCUUCACCAGCCGGGCCAGGAGCACCUUGAGGACCAGCAGGACCCUAAAGGAAGCAUCAGGAAAAGGCCUCGGAUAUCCAAACUAGUCUGAUACUGACCCUGUGACCUUUGACACCUGGAAGACCUGGAGUUCCUGGGAAACCACGAGCACCCUGGGAAAAUAAAGGAGAAAAGGUGACUGAGCUCAAUAAGCAACACAAUCAAGAGGAAACGCCACACCCUUGUGUUUUCUGUGGCUAAAAGCAUCAUGCAAGUAUGAAAACUGGAGUUUUUUUGGUAAUAUAAAUGGACUGUCUGCACUUGAGCUCCUUGCUACUUAUGGGAAUUAU